ACACGGGCCGGACAUUUCCAUAAUCUCUGCCAAAGAUUGGCCCAGCACCUGGGGUACAACAAGGCCAGCUGUCGACAUCCAGGGAGUAGGAGGAUCCAAAAUUCCUGUCCAGAGCAUUUUGCCACUUCUGGUCCAAGGCCCACAGGCCCUUUGAAGAAAGCUGUGACAGCCUUCACAGACGGCUCAGGGAGGUCCAGUAAUGCAGUGGUAGCCUGGUUUGAAAAAGGAGAAUGGAAAACAGAUGUUCAUCAAGUUGAAGGCUCAUCUCAGAUUGCUGAACUCUCAGCCGUGGAGCAGGUCCAAGAUGGAUACCGUCCAGACUAGUGAGGAUCCACCAAGAAGUUUCCCUCCCAGCUCAACCAGCAGCAGAUCCAGCACCAGCAGAUUCAGCACCAGCUACAGGAAGCGAUCCCCCAUCAGCAUCACUUUCGGGAUAAUCCUGGUUUUGUGUGCAGCAUAACACCAGCAAAUCAGAAAGACCUAACGUCAGGAGCCCUUGCCACACCUCC